UCCGGUUUGUCACCGGCAGUCUCCUUAGAGUUCCCACCAUUACGUGCUGGCAACUAAGGACAAGGGUUGCGCUCGUUACGGGACUUAACCCAACAUCUCACGACACGAGCUGACGACAGCCAUGCAGCACCUGUGUUCCAAUUCCCUUGCGGGCACCCCCACCUUUCAGCAGGGUUCUGGACAUGUCAAGGGUAGGUAAGGUUGUUCGCGUUGCAUCGAAUUAAUCCACAUCAUCCACCGCUUGUGCGGGUCCCCGUCAAUUCCUUUGAGUUUUAACCUUGCGGCCGUACUCCCCAGGCGGUCGACUUCACGCGUUAGCUUCGUUACUGAGAGUGUCAAACCCCCAACAACCAGUCGACAUCGUUUAGGGCGUGGACUAC
rnacentral:misc_RNA from 1 species